rnacentral:lncRNA from 1 species
GGGGCUCAUAUUCAGGGACUAACUCUGCCAGCUGUGUGGUGAGAGGGAGCUGCCACCGCUUGAUCUGUUCAUCUGUAAUGAGGGAGUCUUAGAAGCUUCACUCACCACAGUGAACUGUUGUAGGAGUUAAAGGGAGGCGUCUACAAAGCAUGCUGGGAACUGAAAAGGCCUUUCUGUAGAAUGAAGCAACAUUUUCAAAACUUACGAUUUAAGCCACAUUUCACUCUUGGGCAGAUGGAAUAGACCAACAGAUUCAUGUGCUGGGCGCUUGGGAUGAAGCCACAAAUCCUGUAUGUUUCUCUAUUUCAUAGAAGAAGAAGGUUUUCAAUUACAAAGAGGCUUGCUGUCAAAGCAAUAUGACCACCUAGCUGGCUGUUCAUUCUGCCAACCUGCCUUCCUUGCCGUGAUGUAAUAAAUCCUCAUGAAUUGCAAACUAGAAUAAACCCUCAUUCCUUCUUCAAA